rnacentral:rRNA from 1 species
CCUACGGGAGGCAGCAGUGGGGAAUAUUGCGCAAUGGGCGAAAGCCUGACGCAGCGACGCCGCGUGAGGGAUGAAGGUCUUCGGAUCGUAAACCUCUGUCAGCAGGGAAGAACGGUCACUGUGCUAAUCAGCAGUGAAUUGACGGUACCUGCAAAGGAAGCACCGGCUAACUCCGUGCCAGCAGCCGCGGUAAUACGGAGGGUGCGAGCGUUAGUCGGAAUUACUGGGCGUAAGGCGCUCGUAGGCGGUUUGACAAGUCAAAGGUGAAAUCCCCGGGCUCAACGUGGGAACUGCCUUUGAAACUGGUGAACGGGAGUGUGGGAGAGGAUAGUGGAAUUCCAGGUGUAGGAGUGAAAUCCGUAGAUAUCUGGAGGAACAUCAGUGGCGAAGGCGACUAUCUGGCACAUAACUGACGCUGAGGAGCGAAAGCGUGGGUAGCAAACAGGAUUAGAUACCCCGGUAGUC